ACGCGUUCGGUUUGUUUUUCUGUCGCUGGCGCGUAAGAUCGCCAACUUGUUAACUGGAUUUUUGUUCGAAACCGCCAUUGUAACCUCGCUUAGAGUGUUUCUUGAAAAGUGUAAACUGCAUGAGAAUUAUAUUUGAUCAAUAAUCCAACAUAAAUUCGUUAAAAAACAAAAUACUCUGCUGGUUAAAGUUAAUAUUGUCAGCUAUUUCGUUAAAAGUGUUCACAGGUGUUAGUGAGAAUUGCCAAAUUUGAAAAUCAACUCCCGCUCUAUUGGAUUUAAACAGCAAUUGAUAGAAUACUUAAAGUGCCCCGCAACUAAACUUAAUCAAUUGGUCACGUAGCUACAAACUGAAAAAAAAAAACAAACAAAUACACACAGAUAUAUACAAUUGUAUAUAUAUAUAUAUAUAAAGUGCAACAAGAAAAUCCACACAGAAGAGCGGCGAGAAGUCAACAAACAGUUGGCCCGUUUAACGUGCUGGCAUUUAAUUUACGUGUUACGUGGAACAGUUUCGUCGGCCCCGUUGAAAAGAAAGUCACGACAUCCAUACGAAACGAGAUUUCCAAGAUUCUGCAACGAAAGUCAAAGUUACAAGUUUACGUUUACAUUUUGCCUUCGACACGCAGUUCCAGUCUCAGCAGCUGCUUAAACAGCGGCGACGAAAAGUGGCCAGAAAAGCAAAGCAAACCAACUUUUUGGCCGGUUCAACGUCUUCGUCUGCUACGGUAUUACACGAGUGUGUGUGUGUGUGUGUGUACGCGCCACUUUGAGUGUGUGUGCCACUUUAGAAAGUGAAAAUCGAGUGCAGUCUGUCACAAAAAGAAGAAAAACAAAACUGCGACUCGCACUAGCUCCGGGCAGCUGCAACGGAAAGUGAAUUUAAAAAUCGAUCGGUAGCAGUUAGCACUUGGCUGCCGGCCCACUACUUAAGGCCAGUUUCAUUCAUCAUUAGGCACCAAGUCAAGCCGCAAAGGUUUGCAUCUGCACCGGCACAACAAUGGAGGCCGAGGAAAUAACAAAACUUGUUGAUGGCGUCUACAGAAAUAUACUCGACAAAUUCAAUCCGGGUGCCAGGCAAUUGAUCGCCGCGGGCAAAAGCUACCUGAAGGCGUUGCAUGGUGCCGCAACCGCUUCGCGUCUAUUCAAUGAAGCAUUGGCCAAGAUUGCAAUGAACGCCCAGCAGAGCGGAACGGGCGAUAUUGGUUCAGCUUUGAUGAGCGUUGUGAAUGUCAACAAAGAGAUACAAGAACAACAAAUGAACAUUCUCAAAGCCUUUUAUGUUGAUUUACUCGUGCCAUUGGAGACGAAUUUGGAGAAGGACACAAAAGUGGUGCAGCAUGAACAAAAGAAAUUUAUGCAGCAGCACAAGGUGCGAAUGGAGAGCUAUCAGAAGGCCGUCUCCACAAUGAAGAAGCAGCGCAAGAAAAAGGCGACGCCCGAGAAUACAGAGAAGGAGCUGAGGAGUCUGCAAGUGCUGGAGGACCAGAAGAAGAAACUGGAUGUCUUUAGCGAUCAGAGCUACAAGAAUGCCAUGACACAGGAGCGCAGGCGGUACGGGUUCGUCUUGGAGCGUCAAUGCUCAAUCGCCAAGCACUGGAUGGCCUAUCAUACCACCGGGAAAACAGUAAUUGAUAAUAAUUUAGAAAAUUGGCAAGAAAUUGCCGCAUCACGUGAGAUCAUUCCAACGGCCGCGUAUGAGAGCGGUUUCAGCCACAACGGCAACAGCAACAACAGCAACAGCAGCAACAACAACAGCAAUAUCAACAACAACGCCAACAACAACAACAGCAUAAGCAACGGCAUUGGCAUGUCCAGACGUCUGGAGCGCAUCAAAGACACGGAAGAUCAGAGUCACGGAGCUCAGCUGAAGAAGUCGCGCAGCAUCGACGCACCCUACGGCGAUAUGAGAACGCUGCACGAACGUGAGAUCGGCGGGGGCGCUAUGGCGCACUAUGCCCAGAAUUCGCUGCCACGCGCCAAGUCCGACUUCAAUCUAGCCCUAGUGGGCACAGGCCCGUCUGCAGGCAACAAGCAUGGCAACCACAGCAUCGAGGAGCAGCACAACGAUCAAAUUGGCGCCAACGGAGGCGGCAAUCAAUGGGGCGGCGAUCAGCGUCCGCUGGUCAAGGCCCUUUACGCUUACAUGCCCUCGGGUGAGAACCAAUUGUCGUUCGAGGAGGGCGAUCGCAUAGCGCUUGUCGGUGGCAAGGCCAAGGGCUGGCAAUUCGGUGAGAAUCUGCGCACCCAGCACUUUGGCUGGUUCCCAGUGGCCUACACCAAUGCGGAGACCACUGAAGGCGUUAGUGGGGGCAAGAAAUUGCUGCAGCACGAACGCUACGAGAACUUGCACUACGAGCGCAACGGGGCGGGUGCUCUGCGUAGUUACCAUCACGAUCAGUACUUGUCCGAGGCACAGCUGGAGCUGGAGAGCGAUUCCACAUAUCGGCGACGCAAUCACAGCGCCGAGGAGUCAUCGCCCACACGCAUGUUCGGCGACACCAUCAAGCAGCAAAAGAAGUACCGCCCUUCGUCGGGCGCCAAUCCACGGCCCGGACCACCGCCUACGCUGCCAGCGCCAGUUCCGAACGCUCCGAGCUCGCGCAUGCUAAACGCCUCCCAGAGCUUCUGUGCCACGAACGGAGUUACAGCGGCUGUGGAGCGACGCAAGCAGAAGCUACUGAGUGGUGCACAGAAUUCUAUGAAUCAUCUGAAUAAUCCAUCUGGAAAGUCCGCAGCAGCGGCUAAAACAUCGCUGCACAGCAGCAACGACAGCGGCUUCGCCAACGAACCGCCACCACAGCCAGAGGUGGACUACUCCGACGAGGAACCAUCACAACGGGUGCCCAUACGUCGACGCGCCGACACAAACACACACACAGUGCCUAGGGACGUGGCCUCCUGGACACUAAGCCGUAACUUCCGCAACAGCGUGGACAGUCAAAUCGAUGACAAGAGCCUGCAUCGGUUGAGCCGACAGAGCGGCGGCAAAAUGCGUUAUGAUCUGAUUGCAUCCGAUGAUGAGAUCUUGCAGGCAUCCAGUGCGGGACUGAAGCGCACCAAAUCCUUCUGGAAGUUUGGUGGCGGUCGCAGUGAAGACAUUCUUGCGGGCAUGUCGUUGUGGCAGCAUCGUGACUUAGUGGCGGCUCCCAAUCUGGAGGAGUUGCGUGACGACGAAUACAGACGUGGCUCCCAGCUGGAACGUCGCUCCGAUGAGCUGAACAAUGACAAGAACGGCACACUGACCAAGUCACACAAUUCGAACUCGUCGCAAGAGAAGCGACGCAAGGACAGCAUUACAAGCACCGAAAACUUUGGCGAUGACGAUGAGAACAUCUAUGGCGUGACUCCGGUGGUGCGUGAGCGAAGCAGCAACCACAACUACACGCCCAAAUCGCGCAUGAAGAUCAUGAAGACCAUCGAGAUUGACAUUGAGGAGCCGACGGAGAGCGAGCGUAUGAGCACAAUAAAGCGUGGACAGUUACAGCACCAGAACCAGCAGCCACAUCAGCAGUAUCAGCAACAGGAAUAUGGGCGUUCGGACACCCUUCGCAAGCUGGAGAAACAGUCCUCGUCCACGCCUCAGCCCAAAUCACAGACGCUGACACGUGCCAAGCAGGCACCACAGCAGUUUCCACACUCCACAGAUGAGGGGGAGAGCGACGAACACGGCACACUGAAGCUAAGCGAUGUGAACAACUUCUUCGAUGACAUGCAGAACGACGUAGGCGUAGGUGGUGGGGGAGGCGGACACGGCCUAAUUAUGAAGACAGUGAAGCGCAAGGACAUACUUAAGCAGUACUACACCAGUGAGGACGAGUCCGACGCAGAAUUGAAGUCGACCAGCUCUGAUCCCUACGACUGCAUUGUCAUCAACGAUCAUCUCGUCCGCAAGGACGACAAGCUGCGUCGCCAGCACCACCAGCAACUGCAACAGCAGCAACAGAUGGAGUUCCAGACCUUUCGUUCGUCCACGCUCUCCACCACGGCAUCCCAGUCCACCAGUACGCUGAAGAAGUCGGGCGAAAAGCUGCGCAAUGGCGGUGGCAAGCAGCUGGCCAAGGAGCAGCAGGAUAGCCACAGCAGCAGCACAUUGACUCGCAACUCCACCUCAAACUCCACAGCACCCACUGCCACCAUAUUGCCCCGCACCCGCCUGCUCAAGACCAGCAGCACCACGCUGGAGCGCAACUCCAAGACGCAUGCGAACAACAACAAGAGCUAUGGGCCGUGGUACGAUUUCUGGGAUCAGCAGGAUCAGCACCACCACGGCAUCGCCGGCCAGAAAGCAACUAGUGCGAAAUUGAAGUGAGCAAGCGUGGUACCUACCGAAAUACUUCAAUAGAUUUCUGAAGACAAGCCUCAAAAGCAACCCUGUAUAAUAAAGUAAAACCCUCCCAAAUACACCAACAACAACAAUAUACUAUAUUAGCUUUAUAAGCAUAUAUGUAUGUAUGUACAAGUAAAUACAUAUGUACGUAAUAAGUUGCGCUUAUAUAUGCAUGUAUGUAUGUACGUUGCUUUAAAGUGUACAAAUAAAACACAUGUAUGUAUAUAUAUAUAUAUAUGUAUGUAUAUUGUAAACGCUCCCUAUUGUGGCUCUCCAAAUUCGCCUCACAAUUUGCAACAGUGAAGUUGCGUCACACCAAAACCAACGAUCGCUCGGCCCCGAUGAUCUAUCGGAGCGUGAAUAAGUAGCAACGACAGCGAAGAGUGGACUUUUUAUUAUGAACCACUGACAAAAAAAAAGUACUUUAUCAAAAAUCUACAUCUUCGCCUACCAACAAUUUCCAUAUGCACUACAUUUUUAAUUAAAUAUAUAGAUAUAGUAUCCAUAUAUAUAUAUAUAAUUUGUUCUUAGCGUCUCGCUGGGCUGUCAAUAGUCUUUUCAUGAAAACUACAGCUCUGCCUGGCUCAAGCCUGGAUUUUUAUUAGUCAUAAGUUGUAAUGUUUGUUAAAUCUUGUGUGUGUAUUUUAAAAAGAAACACUUAUGUAAUUAUUACGCCGAAUAAAGUAAAACUUUAAAAACUUCCCUUAAAA